rnacentral:rRNA from 1 species
ACAGUGGACGCGAGCAUCUGUGGCCAAGUUUUUAAGGGCGCACGGUGGAUGCCUUGGCACCAGGAACCGAUGAAGGACGUGGGAGGCCACGAUAGGCCCCGGGGAGCUGUCAACCAAGCUUUGAUCCGGGGGUGUCCGAAUGGGGAAACCCGGCAGUCGUCAUGGGCUGUCACCCGCUGCUGAACACAUAGGCAGUGUGGAGGGAACGCGGGGAAGUGAAACAUCUCAGUACCCGCAGGAAGAGAAAACAACCGUGAUUCCGGGAGUAGUGGCGAGCGAAACUGGAUGAGGCCAAACCGUAUGUGUGUGAUACCCGGCAGGGGUUGCGCAUGCGGGGUUGUGGGAUCUCUCUUUUGCAGUCUGCCGGCUGUGAGACGAGUCAGAAACCGUUGAUGUAGGCGAAGGACAUGCGAAAGGUCCGGCGUAGAGGGUAAGACCCCCGUAGCUGAAACAUUAACGGCUCGUUUGAGAGACACCCAAGUAGCACGGGGCCCGAGAAAUCCCGUGUGAAUCUGGCGGGACCACCCGUUAAGCCUAAAUAUUCCCUGGUGACCGAUAGCGGAUAGUACCGUGAGGGAAUGGUGAAAAGUACCGCGGGAGCGGAGUGAAAUAGUACCUGAAACCGUGUGCCUACAAGCCGUGGGAGCGUCGCUGUCGUCUUUGGACGGCAGUCGUGACUGCGUGCCUUUUGAAGAAUGAGCCUGCGAGUUUGCGGUAUGUUGCGAGGUUAACCCGUGUGGGGGAGCCGUAGCGAAAGCGAGUCCGAAUAGGGCGUUCAGUAGCAUGCUCAAGACCCGAAGCGGAGUGAUCUAGCCAUGGGCAGGUUGAAGCGGAGGUAAGACUUCGUGGAGGACCGAACCCACCAGGGUUGAAAACCUGGGGGAUGACCUGUGGUUAGGGGUGAAAGGCCAAUCAAACUCCGUGAUAGCUGGUUCUCCCCGAAAUGCAUUUAGGUGCAGCGUCGUGUGUUUCUUGCCGGAGGUAGAGCACUGGAUAGGCGAUGGGCCCUACCGGGUUACUGACCUUAGCCAAACUCCGAAUGCCGGUAAGUGAGAGCGCGGCAGUGAGACUGUGGGGGAUAAGCUCCAUGGUCGAGAGGGAAACAGCCCAGAGCAUCGACUAAGGCCCCUAAGCGUGUGCUAAGUGGGAAAGGAUGUGGAGUCGCAGAGACAACCAGGAGGUUGGCUUAGAAGCAGCCAUCCUUGAAAGAGUGCGUAAUAGCUCACUGGUCAAGUGAUUCCGCGCCGACAAUGUAGCGGGGCUCAAGCACACCGCCGAAGUCAUGUCAUUGCCAUGGGAGCCCUAACGGGUGUGGUGAUGGGUAGGGGAGCGUCGUGUGCCGGGUGAAGCAGCCGUGGAAACGAGUUGUGGACGGUUCACGAGUGAGAAUGCAGGCAUGAGUAGCGAUACACACGUGGGAAACGUGUGCGCCGAUUGACUAAGGGUUCCUGGGUCAAGCUGAUCUGCCCAGGGUAAGUCGGGACCUAAGGCGAGGCCGACAGGCGUAGUCGAUGGACAACCGGUUGAUAUUCCGGUACCCGUUGUGAAGCGUCAAACAUCGAGCCCUCUGAUGCUAAGGCCGUGAAGCCGCCCUGAUCUCUUCGGAGUUGAGGGGAGUGGUGGAGCCGCUGAUCCAAGGUGGUAGUAGGUGAGUGAUGGGGUGACGCAGGAAGGUAGUCCAGCCCGGGCGGUGGUUGUCCCGGGGUAAGGGUGUAGCCCGUGUGGUAGGCAAAUCCGUCACACGUUAAGGGUGAGACCUGAUGCCGAGCCGAUUGUGGCGAAGUGGAUGAUCCUAUGCUGUCGAGAAAAGCCUCUAGCGAGUUUCAUGGCGGCCCGUACCCUAAACCGACUCAGGUGGUCAGGUAGAGAAUACCGAGGCGUUCGGGUGAACUAUGGUUAAGGAACUCGGCAAAAUGCCCCCGUAACUUCGGGAGAAGGGGGGCCAUUGCUGGUGAUCCGAUUUACUCGGUGAGCUGGUGGUGGCCGCAGAGACCAGCGAGAAGCGACUGUUUACUAAAAACACAGGUCCGUGCGAAGCCGUAAGGCGAUGUAUACGGACUGACGCCUGCCCGGUGCUGGAACGUUAAGGGGACCGGUUAGUCAUGAUUCGUCAUGGCGAAGCUGAGAACUUAAGCGCCAGUAAACGGCGGUGGUAACUAUAACCAUCCUAAGGUAGCGAAAUUCCUUGUCGGGUAAGUUCCGACCUGCACGAAUGGCGUAACGACUUCUCGACUGUCUCAACCAUAGGCCCGGUGAAAUUGCACUACGAGUAAAGAUGCUCGUUUCGCGCAGCAGGACGGAAAGACCCCGGGACCUUUACUAUAGCUUGAUAUUGGUGUUCGGUUCGGCUUGUGUAGGAUAGGUGGGAGACUGUGAAGCGAUCACGCCAGUGGUUGUGGAGUCGUUGUUGAAAUACCACUCUGGUCGUGCUGGAUGUCUAACCUGGGUCCGUGAUCCGGAUCAGGGACAGUGUCUGGUGGGUAGUUUAACUGGGGCGGUUGCCUCCUAAAGAGUAACGGAGGCGCCCAAAGGUUCCCUCAGCCUGGUUGGCAAUCAGGUGUUGAGUGUAAGUGCACAAGGGAGCUUGACUGUGAGACUGACGGGUCGAGCAGGUACGAAAGUAGGGACUAGUGAUCCGGCGGUGGCUUGUGGAAGCGCCGUCGCUCAACGGAUAAAAGGUACCCCGGGGAUAACAGGCUGAUCUUCCCCAAGAGUCCAUAUCGACGGGAUGGUUUGGCACCUCGAUGUCGGCUCGUCGCAUCCUGGGGCUGGAGUCGGUCCCAAGGGUUGGGCUGUUCGCCCAUUAAAGCGGUACGCGAGCUGGGUUUAGAACGUCGUGAGACAGUUCGGUCCCUAUCCGCUGUGCGCGUAGGAGUAUUGAGAAGGGCUGUCCCUAGUACGAGAGGACCGGGACGGACGAACCUCUGGUGUGCCAGUUGUCCUGCCAAGGGCAUGGCUGGUUGGCUACGUUCGGAAAGGAUAACCGCUGAAAGCAUCUAAGCGGGAAGCCUGCUUCGAGAUGAGUACUCCCACCUCCUUGAGAGGUUAAGGCUCCCAGUAGACGACUGGGUUGAUAGGCCAGAUAUGGAAGCCGGGCAACCGGUGGAGUUGACUGGUACUAAUAGGCCGAGGGCUUGUCCUCAGUUG